GACCGGACGCCGCCGAGUCGCCCUCCGGGGCGAGCCGGGGACCCACCGCACCACUGGGGUGAAUCCCGCACCCGGACGACCGUCCGGGCCGGGUAGGGCUGCUUCCCGCCCGAACCCGUCAGCUGACCUGGUAGGCGGCACUCGGAAGACAC
rnacentral:sRNA from 2 species